UACGUAGGUGGCAAGCGUUGUUCGGAAUUACUGGGCGUAAAGGGCUCGUAGGCGGCCAACUAAGUCCGACGUGAAAUCCCCAGGCUUAACCUGGGAACUGCGUCGGAUACUGGAUGGCUUGAAUCCGGGAGAGGGAUGCGGAAUUCCAGGUGUAGCGGUGAAAUGCGUAGAUAUCUGGAGGAACACCGGUGGCGAAGGCGGCAUCCUGGACCGGCAUUGACGCUGAGGAGCGAAAGCCAGGGGAGCAAACGGG
rnacentral:rRNA from 1 species